GUGAGCGCUGGCGGUAGGCCUAACACAUGCAAGUCGAACGGCAGCACAGUAAGAGCUUGCUCUUCCGGGUGGCGAGUGGCGGACGGGUGAGGAAUACAUCGGAAUCUACUUUUUCGUGGGGGAUAACGUAGGGAAACUUACGCUAAUACCGCAUACGACCUACGGGUGAAAGCAGGGGAUCUUCGGACCUUGCGCGAUUGAAUGAGCCGAUGUCGGAUUAGCUAGUUGGCGGGGUAAAGGCCCACCAAGGCGACGAUCCGUAGCUGGUCUGAGAGGAUGAUCAGCCACACUGGAACUGAGACACGGUCCAGACUCCUACGGGAGGCAGCAGUGGGGAAUAUUGGACAAUGGGCGCAAGCCUGAUCCAGCCAUACCGCGUGGGUGAAGAAGGCCUUCGGGUUGUAAAGCCCUUUUGUUGGGAAAGAAAAGCAGCAGGUUAAUACCCCGCUGUUCUGACGGUACCCAAAGAAUAAGCACCGGCUAACUUCGUG
rnacentral:rRNA from 1 species